GGCCGGAUGGUGUAGUGUUAGUACUCCCUGUCUUCCAGCCGAUUUCACAUCUAACAGUAUCAACAGUGGUUAUCACAUCUCCUUAACACGGAGAAGGUCUUGAGUUCGAGCCUCAAUCUGGUCA
rnacentral:tRNA from 1 species